UUUCCCAGUCACGAUAAGGUCUCCAAGCAGAACUCAGUCACUAAGGAAGUGGAGUUGCUAAGACAGCCAGGAUGUUGGCUUAGAAGCAGCCAUCAUUUAAAAAGUGCGUAACAGCUUACUGGUCGAGCAAUUCCGCGCCGAUAAUGAACGGGAGUAAGUUCUGCACCGAAGCAUUGGAAUCCACGCAAGUGGAUUGGUAGGAGAGCGCUGUACGUCAGAUACAAGUCGCACCGUAAGGAGCGAUGUCGGGGCGUACAGGUGAUUAUGCCGGAAUGAGUAACGAUUAAGCAGGUGAGAAUCCUGCUCGCCGAAAGCCUAAGGUUUCCUGGGGAAGGUAAAUCCGCCCAGGGUUAGCCGGUACCUUAGUCGAGGCCGAAAGGCGUAGACGAUGGACAGCAGGUCAACAUUCCUGCGCCACAUGCUGGACCGAUGGAGGGACGGCGUCUGGAAGGUGAGGGGACGGAUAGAAAUGUCCCUCGCCGGUGUGGAAGGUAGCCGUAGGGAAAUCCGCGGCGACAUCCCGAAGCACCGGACAAAGACGCUUAUGUUUCGAUAGUCAUCCGAAGGACGUCCAAGAAAAGCUUCUAGGGUUGAAGGCAUGUGACCGUACUAAAACUGACACAGGUAGGCGGGACGAGAAGUCCUAGGCGCUCGGGAGAACACUGGUUAAGGAACUCUGCAAAAUGGCCCCGUAAGUUCGCGAUAAGGGGUACCCUCCGUGGUUUAUAGCUUUGGAGGGUCACAGUAAAUCGGCAUCAGCAACUGUUUAUCAAAAACACAGGACUCUGCGAACUCGCAAGAGGAUGUAUAGAGUCUGACGCCUGCCCGGUGUUGGUAGGUUAAGGAAGAGGGUUAGCCGCAAGGUGAAGCCCGCGACCGAAGCCCCAAUAAACGGCGGCCGUAACUAUGACGGUCCUAAGGUAGCGAAGUUCCUUGUCGGGUAAGUUCCGACCUGCAUGAAUGGCGUAAUGACUGAUGCACUGUCUCAACCAGUGACCCGGUGAAAUUGUAGCCGUGGUGAAGAUGCCACGUACCCGCAGUGUGACGGAAAGACCCCGUGAACCUUCACUGUAGGCUGAUAUUGGUCUCGGACGUGUUCUGUGUAGGAUAGGUGGGAGGCUGCGAAGUGGUGGCGCUAGCCAUCAUGGAGCCAACGUUGAAAUACCACCCUGGAUUCGUUUGAGUUCUAACCCUGAUUCCCGUGAAACCGGGCAGGGGACAGUGUCAGUUGGGCAGUUUGACUGGGGCGGUCUCCUCCAAAAUAGUAACGGAGGAGUGCAAAGGUACCCUCAGCCUGGUUGGCAAUCAGGCAUCGAGCGCAAAGGUAGAAGGGUGCUUGACUGCGAGACUCAUACGUCGAGCAGAUACGAAAGUA
rnacentral:rRNA from 1 species